ACGCUCGACACCUACGGGAGACAGCAGUGGGGAAUAUUGCACAAUGGGGGAAACCCUGAUGCAGCGACGCCGCGUGGAGGAAGAAGGUCUUCGGAUUGUAAACUCCUGUUGUUGGGGAAAAAGAGGAUGGUACCCAACAAGGAAGUGACGGCUAACUACGUGGCCAGCAGCCGACGGUAAUCUGAGGCGGGCUGGCAAGGC
rnacentral:rRNA from 1 species